GUAGGCAACGAUUUCGGCCAAUGACCUUCGGCUUCCCAAGCCGAGGGUCGUGGGUUCAAAUCCCAUCGCCCGCUCCA
rnacentral:tRNA from 1 species